UGUCAGCGCGGAUCAUCAUUUGUUGUUGGUAAUAUGUGUUCGUUUGUGUUAGUUAACCCGUUGUCUGCCACGCCUUUGUUCUCAACACCACCAGCAGGGUCAAACAAAGUUCUAAAUCUGUCAACCCGUGGGCUGCUUUAUCCUUGGAAUGGGACCACUCUUAUUUUGAGGUUAACCCUGCACCGCUAUUCCAUGGACGAAAUCCAUUGGUGGAAACUGACUAGAGAUCAGUGACGACUGACUGACGUGCUGAAUGCUCACAUGCGUGCCAUCCUUCCGUCGCCUCGAGGCAUGGGGGAGUUGUGCCUGCUCCAGCUACGCGUCUAGCGAAGCGUAAUUCGACUACGCAACCGACCGCUUGUCAACUCACCCCUCGGCCCUCGCUGACUCCUAGCCUACUACCCUUGCUCUCAUCUUUCAACACAGCACGGGGUUUUGUCCUUUAGAUCGUUUGGGUGUUUGUGAUCUGUUAUGGCGGUUUCUUGAGGACGACGAUGAUGUGAGUAUCGAGUUUUUUUCUUGUUACUGUAUGUUAUUUAAAUUCAGUUGAGUGUCGAUGAGCUAGAGCAGGAACGUUUUUGUUUUAGACAUUUAUGUUUUUUGACGCUAGAUAGCACCCGCAAGGUCUUAAAGACAGAAGAACUCCAUCGACAAUAGAACCCCAAUAUUUUAAAUAAUUUUUAAAAUUUUUUUGUAUGCGACAGUAGAACUCAAACGAGAGUAGAACUCAAAGCCGUUGCCGUUGCAUUCAGUCAUUUGGAACAGAAGUCUAAUGACUGUCAAUAGGUGGCUGUGAAUAAGUGGCUGUAUGAUGUCCACCAGGUGGCGCGAGUGUCUUCAGGGACGCUAAUCUGCCAUUUUGAUCCAAGACGCAGCGGAAACGGGUUGUUGGUUGUGACGUUUCUCACGAUGAAAAUCAAAAGGUGAUUUAGCACGUAGAAACCAAUUUUCCAAAUCAUUCAACUCAGACUUGGAAGUGC